rnacentral:rRNA from 1 species
UGGGGAAUAUUGGACAAUGGGCGCAAGCCUGAUCCAGCCAUGCCGCGUGAGUGAUGAAAGCCCUAGGGUUGUAAAGCUCUUUCACCGGUGAAGAUAAUGACGGUAACCGGAGAAGAAGCCCCGGCUAACUUCGUGCCAGCAGCCGCGGUAAUACGAAGGGGGCUAGCGUUGUUCGGAUUUACUGGGCGUAAAGCGCACGUAGGCGGACUAUUAAGUCAGGGGUGAAAUCCCGGGGCUCAACCCCGGAACUGCCUUUGAUACUGGUAGUCUUGAGUGCGAGAGAGGUGAGUGGAAUUCCGAGUGUAGAGGUGAAAUUCGUAGAUAUUCGGAGGAACACCAGUGGCGAAGGCGGCUCACUGGCUCGAUACUGACGCUGAGGUGCGAAAGCGUGGGGAGCAAACAGG